GGAAGUGUCGCAUAGCCCGGCAUUGCACCACUUUUACAGGGUGAGGAUCGGUAGUUCAAAUCUACUCACUUCCACCA
rnacentral:tRNA from 1 species